rnacentral:rRNA from 1 species
UUAUACAGCGACUGCGAAUGGCUCAUUAUAUAAGUUAUCGUUUAUUUGAUAGUACCUUACUACUUGGAUAACCGUGGUAAUUCUAGAGCUAAUACAUGCUGAAAAUCCCGACUUCGGAAGGGAUGUAUUUAUUAGAUUAAAAACCAAUGCCCUCUGGGCUCCUUGGUGAUUCAUAAUAACUUUUCGAAUCGCACGGCCUUGCGCCGGCGAUGGUUCAUUCAAAUUUCUUCCCUAUCAACUUUCGAUGUUUGGGUAUUGGCCAAACAUGGUCGCAACGGGUAACGGAGGGUUAGGGCUCGACCCCGGAGAAGGAGCCUGAGAAACGGCUACUACAUCCAAGGAAGGCAGCAGGCGCGCAAAUUACCCAAUCCCGAUUCGGGGAGGUAGUGACAAUAAAUACUGAUACAGGGCUCUUUUGGGUCUUGUAAUUGGAAUGAGUACAAUUUAAAUCUCUUAACGAGGAACAAUUGGAGGGCAAGUCUGGUGCCAGCAGCCGCGGUAAUUCCAGCUCCAAUAGCGUAUAUUAAAGUUGUUGUGGUUAAAAAGCUCGUAGUUGAACCUUGGGCCUGGCUGGCCGGUCCGCCUCACCGCGUGUACUGGUCCGGCCGGGCCUUUCCCUCUGUGGAACCUCAUGCCCUUCACUGGGUGUGGCGGGGAAACAGGACUUUUACUUUGAAAAAAUUAGAGUGCUCCAGGCAGGCCUAUGCUCGAAUACAUUAGCAUGGAAUAAUAAAAUAGGACGUGUGGUUCUAUUUUGUUGGUUUCUAGGACCGCCGUAAUGAUUAAUAGGGACAGUCGGGGGCAUCAGUAUUCAAUUGUCAGAGGUGAAAUUCUUGGAUUUAUUGAAGACUAACUACUGCGAAAGCAUUUGCCAAGGAUGUUUUCAUUAAUCAGGAACGAAAGUUAGGGGAUCGAAGACGAUCAGAUACCGUCGUAGUCUUAACCAUAAACUAUGCCGACUAGGGAUCGGACGAUGUUAUUUUUUGACGCGUUCGGCACCUUUACGAGAAAUCAAGUGCUUGGGCUCCAGGGGGAGUAUGGGUCGCAGGCUGAAACUUAAAGAAAUUGACGAGGGCACACAGGGUGGGAGCUGCGCUAGUUGACUCACACGGGGA